UCGACGCCGUCUGCCUGGCAUUUACAGGUUCGCUUGAAGCAUCGGGCGACGGUUCAGGAGAAGGCUCUGGUGACGGAUCCGGUGACGGCUUGGAAGAAUGGAUCUACGACUUUGGUCCUAUAGUCGAGAUCUUCACACCCGACUGGGCUUCCCAGCAACUCCUUAGUGCAUUCGCAGAGAGAGCGUGCCGAGCUGCCGAAGAUAUAGGAUAUGUUGACCAUGUUGACUUGGAAUCGUUCUGUCGAAACAAUCGACGCCCCAUCGACGGGGGCGAUGCCGAUGAAGAAGAUGGCAGCGGAGAUACUGGUAGUGGUUCUGGCGAAGGAGAUGAUAUCGACAACGAGGAUGAUGAUGAUGAUGGCGAUAAUCAGGCCUUUGUUUGGAGCUCUGACUGGCUUCAAAAUGAUGUCUUUUAUUUUGCGAACGAUGCACAAUAUUAAGAACUGGAAUACCAGUUCCUGAAAACGAACACUGUUGAAAUAUUUUAUUUUGUCCCUUCGUAAUUUUUCUUAAUUUCCAUUUGUAGAUUCCCCAUUAAAAGGGCAAUUUUCCCUCCACAUGUUUGAAUUUAAUCUUACUCGCGGUCCGAA